UCUUGCUGGAGAUCUUUGUGUAUGUGAGGCCUUCUGAAGGAGUUCUUUGACAUACAAAUGGAUGUGCGGAGUUGGAGCAGAGGUGCAUCUAGUGAAGUAACCAAUCUCCUAAUGCAUGCUUAGGAAAGAGAAAAAGAACAAGCUUCCUCUACUAAUAAUCCACACACCUGCACUUGGCCAGGCUACUGACAGAAAUGACCAGUGCCAUUGUGAACUUUGGUGUUUCCUGAUCUGAAGUGUUUAUGUAGAAGCUAGAACAAAUGCCUAAACCUGUGGGACUAACAUGUCAUGUCAAACAUUGCAUGGCUUUUUUAGCUUUCCCUUCCUAUAUUCCAUUCCUUGCUAUGUUAUACUUCCAAGUUGUCUAGAGCAGAAAUCUUUUCUCAUAUCAUAGCCCUUCAGCCAAAAAUAAUAAAAUAUAAUGUACAAGAAUAAUUAAGAUGCACUAAUACAAUCCUGAAACAAGAUAAUAAAUAUCAUUUUGUAACUAAAAAGAUGAAAUAAACACUGUAUA